UUGAACGCUGGCGGCAGGCCUAACACAUGCAAGUCGCGCGGAUGAAGGGAGCUUGCUCCUGGAUUCAGCGGCGGACGGGUGAGUAAUGCCUAGGAAUCUGCCUGGUAGUGGGGGAUAACGUCCGGAAACGGGCGCUAAUACCGCAUACGUCCUGAGGGAGAAAGUGGGGGAUCUUCGGACCUCACGCUAUCAGAUGAGCCUAGGUCGGAUUAGCUAGUUGGUGGGGUAAAGGCCUACCAAGGCGACGAUCCGUAACUGGUCUGAGAGGAUGAUCAGUCACACUGGAACUGAGACACGGUCCAGACUCCUACGGGAGGCAGCAGUGGGGAAUAUUGGACAAUGGGCGAAAGCCUGGUCCAGCCAUGCCGCGUGUGUGAAGAAGGUCUUCGGAUUGUAAAGCACUUUAAGUUGGGAGGAAGGGCAGUAAGUUAAUACCUUGCUGUUUUGACGUUACCAACAGAAUAAGCACCGGCUAACUUCGUG
rnacentral:rRNA from 1 species